rnacentral:lncRNA from 1 species
UAUACACUUUGUAACGUAACACAUGUUAUACUUUUGUACCUCAAUAAUCAGACAACAAAUUUCCUCUUUUACCAGCCUACUAGUAUCAAUGGGAUCCUUUGGGGAUCUCUGCUAUACGUGAACUAUUAACAUUAAUAAUCUGAUUUCAGGGCCGUCCACAUACCCCGUCUGGUAUGGGCGCCAAAACCAUGAACCUCAAUACCCCGUCUGGUAUGGGCGCCAAAACCAUGAACCUCAAUACC